UGCAACAAAAUAGGAAAAACGCCAAGGGGGAUUAAUAAUUUUGCAAGGCACUGUAUAUGCCUAUGCAAUGUACUUGCAGAAGGAGCUGUCUUCUGCUGGCACGGUGGGCUUUUUCUGCUGCGAUGUUGCAUGCAAAUACUGGCCAUAUUUGCAGAAAGUUGUGCAGGCGUUCCCAAAGUUGGAGGAGCUUCUAAAAAUGCACCCUCUCCUCUCCGUUAUGCAUGAAAAGCAUUAAUGGUCUAGUGAGCUCAAAUGGGGAGGCCGCAAUCAGCCUGGUGCCGGCAACACAACCUGAGAGGAAGUCGAGCAGGUGAAUAGUUUUAUAUCCAGAGCUGCUGUCACGACAAAGGACAUGUCCAAGGCUGUACGGACAGACAUUAUCACACUACUGGCAAUGGGCUGGAAUAAGAGGAAGUUCGCCAACAUGGAUCGCAUGUUGGCAUUGAGAUAUGUGAAGAAUGUCAAAAGACUGAAGGAGGAGACCAGCCUCCUUGAAGAAAAGCGGGCAGAGCUGGUUUUCAGGGUGGGCCCCUAUGGCCCCCCUCCCAGCAGUGUCUCCUCUCUUCAACUACUGAUCUUAUCUGGAGUUGAGUUCCACAUCCCUCAUUGUCUUAGUUCCACAGGAACAGGCCUGCCUUAUCAGGAACUGAAACCAAACUGAUACCCUUCUCUCCUUCCUUAGAAAUAUUAAUAUUCAGCAACAACAUGUUUGAACAGAAUAUGAACUUUCUGCACUUCCCCUUGUCUCACUCAGUAACUUUCCAUACCCAAAGUUCCUAUUCACCCUUCAUUGACUCCUAACAUAUACAUUUCUUACACAUGUAAAGUAAUCAAUAUUUUCUAUAACAACACUUCAAAAUUGACCAGGAACAUACCGAUUAAGUAUGACCUUUAUUGGCAGCUGAUGAAAGUAUGCCCUAUACAUAUUGUAGCCACAGGAGGUUGGUGUCACCUUAAUUGGGGAGGACGGGCUCGUGAUAAUGGCUGGAGUGGAAUCAGUGGAAUGGUAUCAAAUACAUCAAACACAUUGUUUCCAUGUGUUUGAUUCCAUUACAUUCGCUCCGUUACAACCAUUAUUAUGAGCCGUCCUCCCCUCAGCAGCCUCCACUGAUUGUAGCAGUUUAUUGACCUAGGAAUUGUUCAUGUUACUGAAUCAAAUCUUAAUAUCUUAAUAUAACUCUGGAGAUCCAUUUGGUCUCCACAGAAUUGGGAAAAUCUGCUUUUAGUUUUUUUGCCCCUUAUGUGUGGAACAAUACACAGCAUUCCUUGCAGUUAGAUAUUCUGGCGCCUUUCAGGCAUUUUAAAUGAUUGAUUGGAGACUUUUAUGUUACAGAAUGCGAUUGCUUUUCUUAAAUAUGUUUAAUGUUGUGUAUUGUGUUUUAUUAUAAUGUGUUUUAUGCUCUUCCCAGUUCAUAACGGUUGAUGAGAAAGCACGGUUAUAAACGCAUUGUUUAAGUGAAUUCACUCAAAACCUGAAGGAUGGACUUAUUUAUUUUUCUGCUGCUGAGUUGCAAUGAAUGUGGAAAUGCAAAGAUUGCUGGAGGUCUUUAUCGACAAGAUCAGAACUGCUCAAGCAUUAUAAACUUAGUCAUAGGCAUUAUGAAUGGGGCCAUUCAUACCCAUGUACUUACUUGGAUUGCAUAUGCAAAUGUAAGACUUGGAAUGCUUUACUGAGCCAUCUGUCAAGAUAUCACCCUGCUCCGCAAUCCUCACUAACCAAAGGUCUAUCUACGUUCAGGUGCCAUAUCUGUGGUCAUAAUCGUAUGCACUCACUAUCUGUAAGUCGCUCUGGAUAAGAGCGUCUGCUAAAUGACUAAAAUGUAAAUGUGAUGUAUAUUAGGGCUGUUGUGUUUUAUUUAUGUACUGUGUUUUAUAUGUAAACGUAUACAGCGCUCUUGUAAAAUAGUUUUAUUUCAAUGUGAAUCCUUGUUUAAAUAAAGGUUAAUAAAAAAUAUAAAUACAUUCUACUAGGCCUAACCCUGAUAUUAGGCCUACACAUGUAAUAAUAUUGAUACGCCAAUAUUCAUUGGGUAGAUUACAAUAAUUGUAGUGUCAUGGAGGCACACCUUAUUGUCCUCCCUGGUUCCAUUCCAUAUUGACAGGCUACUACAUGUAUGACAUCUACCAUUGUGUCCUCCUGGCUAUGCCGACUGCUGUAUCUGCUGCUUUCCUGAUUCAUUGUACAACUUGUAGAUCUGUCAUACUGCAUGUAGAUGUUUAUGUUCAUGCCAUUAAACAAUAAUAUAGAAUUA